rnacentral:rRNA from 1 species
UACGUAGGGCGCAAGCGUUAUCCGGAAUUAUUGGGCGUAAAGAGCUCGUAGGCGGUUUGUCGCGUCUGCCGUGAAAGUCCGGGGCUCAACUCCGGAUCUGCGGUGGGUACGGGCAGACUAGAGUGAUGUAGGGGAGACUGGAAUUCCUGGUGUAGCGGUGAAAUGCGCAGAUAUCAGGAGGAACACCGAGCGGCGAAGGCAGGUCUCUGGGCAUUAACUGACGCUGAGGAGCGAAAGCAUGGGGAGCGAACGGG